CCGGCCCACGCCCCUCCGCCGCGCGCCGCCACCGCCGGCCGCCUGCCCGUUCCCCCGUUCCUCCGGCUGUGCGAGGCACGGUGGCGGUGGGAGGAAAACUGGCGGAUCUGGGCGCGGCCUUGAGAGAUCUCGCGGCUGGUGCGGCAGCUUGCUACGAUGGCAGCGACUUGUACCUCAACAACCGUCACGACGGAGCUGCCACCACAGCUCGAGAGAGGAGGGCGUUGCCGGAGACAAGGGCCGCCUGCACGAGUCAGGCCCGCUAUCGGCGGCAGCGCCCGCGUCCACACCCUGGCCAGCGGCAACACGAGCACCAAGCGGAGGAGGUGGCACAUGGCGCCAUCAGUUUGAAGCGGACCAGAGACGUUCCCCUUGUUGGGCAGGUUGCUGGGUGGAGGAACUCGCAGGCACGUUUCGAGUUCAGUUGUCGCCUAAGCAGCACUACUACCUACAGGUCCAAGGUUUGCUGAAGCACUACUUACAUUGAUUAGGUUUUUGAAGAGCCAUCGCUUCUUGACACCUACACCUACUCGCCAAUAGCAACAGCCUCUGUGUCACUACUCACCAACGUGCUGAACGCUAAGAGUUUGAUUAUUAAUCUGUGUGUGCUUUUGUUAUAGGCAGUGCUUCUCUUGAAUUUACUGAUUUUUAUGGUGCAUGACUCCUAUUCCAUAGCAUGAGUUCAUGAAUAUGUAUACGACAGUUUGCAAGCAGUAAGAUGUCUGCUGCUUUCCUGCA